rnacentral:rRNA from 1 species
AAGCGGAGGAAAAGAAACUAACAAGGAUUCCCCUAGUAACGGCGAGUGAAGAGGGAAGAGCUCAAAUUUUAAAUCUGCCUUGUUCCAAGGUCGAGUUGUAAUUUGAAGAAGCGUUUUCUUGGGCUCGCGGCCGGUAGAAGUUCUUUGGAACAGGACAUCAUAGAGGGUGACAAUCCCGUCCGUGACCGGUCGUGCGUUCAUCUACGAUACGCUUUCAAAGAGUCGAGUUGUUUGGGAUUGCAGCUCCAAACGGGUGGUAAACAUCACCUAAGGCUAAAUAUUGGCGAGAGACCGAUAGCGAACAAGUACCGUGAGGGAAAGAUGAAAAGAACUUUGAAAAGAGAGUUAAACAGUACGUGAAAUUGUUGAAAGGGAAACGAUUGAAGUCAGUCGUGCUGGCGCGAAAUCAACCCUCUCGUCUUGAGAUCACAUGGCGCGACGAGCCUCAAAACCGUCACGAAGCGUGAACUCUUGACGAAAAGGUGCACUUUCGUGUCCGCUGGUUAACAUCAAUUUCGAACGUCAUAAAAAGGCUGGAGGGAUGUGGCUCCUUCGGGAGUGUUAUAACCUUUAGCGGAAUGUGGCGUUCGGGAUUGAGGAUUGCAACGAAUACCUUCAGGGCUGUUCCACCUGGCUUCUCAUUGGUAUCCUGGUGACGACAGCUUGCUGACGUCGUUAGGAUCAGCUUCUGAACAGGCUAGAGUGUGAGCAAAUUCGUUAAGGAUGUUAACGUAAUGGCUUUAAACGACC